CCAUAGACCUCUCUCUUCCCUCUCGGUCAUACCUCCAGAAUCCUCUUCCCUUCCUCUUUCCAACCCUCAAGUUAGUUUCUCCAAAUUCAUAGCCGAAUUUUCUCAAUUUCAGAUCUAAGAAAUAGUGACCGUGGGUAUUCCAGGCAAUUUCUGGCAAAGUCUGCCGGAAUUGGACCUCAACCAAGAGAUUGGGGACGAGGAAGGUGAAUCAAGGUUGUUUCCAACCUGGGCCGAGAAGAAUGGAAGCCUUGGAAGGUGCCCGCCGCGUCGGGGGUUGUGGCCGCAACUGCCUUAACCAAUGUUGCAUUCCAGGUGCAAAACUUCCAUUGUAUGCCUUCAAGAAGCUGAACGUGAAUGAAGGUGACACGGGUUUGCUCGGACAUGAGAAAAGAGAGCUUCCCGUUGCAUUUCUUGACUCACUGCUUCUGAGGGAGGUAAAUUGAUAUACAGGAGAUGAAGAAAGAAUCACCAGCUUUGUUUGUUUCCUUUUGUAGUUAACAAUUAUUAUGGUAUAAAAUUGUUUACCACUCCAUGGUACAAAUGGGAGGAUCGCAUGCAGAGAAGGCUAUUUCGCUAUGAUGUCACUGCUUGUGAAACCAAGGUAGAGAUAGCAAUUAUUGAGGUGUUCUUGCUGAAGUUUUUCGUGAUGUAAUUCGAGUUGAUUGUCUGAAGUUUUUGCAAUUUUGUUGAUUUGUAUGUGUGUUUUGUGUAUGAACAUGGAGCUGUUCUUGUUGGACUAGGGAGGAAGGAAGGUUUAGGUGAUUGAGGAAACCUCACCUAUACUU